ACGAACGCUGGCGGCGUGUCUAAGGCAUGCAAGUCGAACGCCCUACAAUGGUACGCAAGUAUUGUUGUGGGGAGUGGCAAACGGGUGCGUAACACAUUGGUAAUCCACCCCGAAGUUUGGCACAACUCCGCGAAAGCGGAGCUAAUUCCAAAUGUGUUCACCGAACGAUAGUUCGGUGAGUAAAGCGCAAAACGCGCUUCGGGAGGAGCCUAUGGCCUAUCAGCUAGUUGGUGAGGUAAUGGCCCACCAAGGCAAUGACGGGUAUGGGGUGUGAGAGCACGACCCCACUCACUGGGACUGAGACACUGCCCAGACACCUACGGGUGGCUGCAGUCGAGAAUAUUCCCCAAUGGCCGAAAGGCUGAGGGAGCGACGCCGCGUGUAGGAUGAGGGUCUUCGGAUUGUAAACUACUUUUCCUUGGGACGAAGCUUCGGCUGACGGUACCAAGGGAAUAAGAGGUUGCUAACUCUGUGCCAGCAGCAGCGGUAAUACAGAGACCUCAAGCGUUGUCCGGAUUUAUUGGGCGUAAAGCGUCCGCAGAUGGCCUGUUAAGUUCUUCGUUAAAUCUUUGGGCUCAACCCAAAGGCCGCGGGGAAAACUGGCAGGCUCGAGGAUGGGAGAGGCAAGCGGAAUUGCCGGUGUAGUAGUAAAAUGCGUUAAUAUCGGCAAGAACACCGAAGGCGAAAGCAGCUUGCUAGAACAUUCCUGACAUUAAGGGACGAAAGCACGGGGAGCGAAGCGGAUUAGAUACCCGCGUAGUCCGUGCCCUAAACGAUGAGUGCUGGAUUUUGGGAGUUUCGACCCUCUCAGAGUCGUCAAAACAAGCUAACGCGUUAAGCACUCCGCCUGGGGAGUACGGCCGCAAGGCUAAAACUCAAAGGAAUAGACGGGGACCCGCACAAGCGGUGGUCCAUGUGGUUUAAUUCGACGGUAAACGAAAACCUCACCAGGGUUUGAAAUGUAGCUGCAAGCCUGAUGAAAGUCGGGCCGCUCUCGAGGGUGCUACACAGGUGCUGCAUGGUUGUCGUCAGCUCGUGCCGUGAGGUGUACCCUUAAGUGGGAUAACGAGCGCAACCCCCGUGCCAUGUUACUUUUACAUUGCACACUGCUUCGGAUAACGGAGAGGAAGGUGGGGAUGACGUCAAAUCAGCAUGGCCCUUACAUCCUGGGCGACACACAUGGAACAAUGGACUGUACAAUGGGCUCAGCCAAGUCGUAAGACGGAGCAAAUCCCAUCAAAACCGUUCUCAGUUCGGAUUGAGGUCUGAAACUCGACCUCAUGAAGCCGGAAUCGCUAGUAAAGGCGUAUCAGAAUGGCGCCUUGAAUACGUUCUCGGGUCUUGUACUCACCGCCCGUCACACCAAGAGAGGUGGGGGCGCCCGAACUUCGACGGUUGUCGGAGGAAGGCGAAACCACUGAUAAGGGUG
rnacentral:rRNA from 1 species